rnacentral:lncRNA from 1 species
UGUCGUUUAUUUCUUUAAAACGCCUCCGUGUAGACGAAUUGUUGCACAACAUACGAAGCGUACCAGCCAGUACGAGUAUCCAAUCUAAGUAAGUUUUAUAGCAUUUUGCGCUGCGCUUUUACGCUUUGAGACUUCAGUUCAUGUCGACUGACUUUCAGUUUGUACGGUUCGGAAGCAUUCUGUUCCAGCCGCGAAUGCAACGAUUUAACGAACAUAUUCUAAACGGAUGGCAACCGGAAUUAGUUGACGAAUAUCGACGUGAUUAUGCAUAGAAUAGAAUUACCGAAAGCAUAAGCGGAACUUUUUCCGGGCGCUCAACACUUGGUGUCGUGAUUGCUUCGCUGGGACGGUGGACUCGGGCAAAUUAACAAAAAUCACGUACUUUUACAUAUUUCGUAUUUAUUAUAACGUUUAUGAAUAAAAAUAUUACUUGUAUGUUGUAAAGGAUUCGUGUAAAAUCCAGGCUAUAAGCAAGCUUUUUAGUUUUGUGGGAACACCGCGUAUAUUCAUUUGGCUAAGCUUUCGACAAAUAUACGCGGGACUACUGUAUGAAACUUCAUAUUCACUCAAUUUCACAAUUUGAAAAACAUAAUCUUAUUUACGUUGCUAUUACAGACAAAAUCAAAUUCAUUUCUUACAAAAUGUGAAGCAGGAUCAUUCUGUGGCCAGCAGAAUGAUCCUGCAACAACGCUAUUCGUGACCAAGUCCCGAAACAUUUUCCAAAGGAACAUUUGCCUGCCGAAUGCAACGAUUUAUCGAAUAUCUUGUGAACGGACGGCAACCGAAAUUAAUACGAAUAUCGACAUGGUUAUGCGGGACAGAAUAUAAGUACCGAAAGUAAGCCGCACUUUUUCCGGAGGUCGACACUUGCGUGAUUGCUUCGCUGGACCCGAAGACUCUGGCAAAUUGUCUUCGCGCUGGUGGUAGCGUCCACCACAACUGAAUUAACAUAAUAUCACGUAUUAUAUAUUUUCAUAUAUUACUACAUUAUAUCUAUGAAUAUACAUUAUAACUAAUAUAUGGUACCUUUAUUCGUGUAAAAUCCAAUCUAAGUACGUUUUAUAGCAUUUAUACUGUCCUAUUUUACCGACACGACUCUUCACUGAGCUGUUUUUGCUUUUGUUUUUUUUAGUUAAUGUUAAGUGCAUUGACUUUCUGCAUGACUGGCAUUUCAGAAUAUUUCUACGACUGUGGUCAGUAAAAUGCAAUAUGAUUUGAGGAAUAUCUUGUGAAUCAUGGAUAUAGCAACCAAAACUCAUGUGAAUAUCUACUAAUUCAAUGAUCUUCAAAAACUCAAGAAUUCAUGAGGAAUAUAGCAAGAGAAAAUCACAAGCGUGUCGCAUCUUUAUAUGUUAUAGAGAUCUCCCUUGAUUUACAUAAACUUUAACUUUCUCGACUUACACAACUGUUGAAGCAAUUUAAAUCAUUCCGCAGUGCGCGUUUUACCAGGCCUGAAGAUAUUCGGCUUCGCCUUGUAUCUUUAUAUCUGAUAAAACACUGGUGCUCGUGUUUUAAAUAGCACCAGAAAGAUGAGAUGCAGUAUAAUAACAUGCAAUGAUAUGUUAUUUAUAAAUAGAAUGUAGACGUUAAUAUGUAUGGGUAUAUUUAGAAAAGUCAAAUUGAAUGCAAUAAGUGAGGCACAUCAUUUGAAAUGGACUCUGAAGAGUAAAGUAAACAAUUUUCUAGAGAAAACAUUCGUGCCUUACGACUUAAGGCAACACUCAGCCAUGAUAAUGCAACAGAAUUCCGUGUACAUAAAAGAAAACGGAUAUUUACACACACAUAAAUAUAAAAUCUUGCUGCUGAAAUGCAGACAAACACACAUGAUCAUACAAAUAUACACCACAACUUUUUUAUUUAUUUUUAAAUUUUUAUAUAUUUUUUUGUACUUUUUAAUUUUUAAAUUACAUCUAUGAUGCUGCUAAUUGCAGACAAACACACAAUUUUUUUUUAUAUUUUAAAUUUUUAUAUAUAUAUUUUGUACUUUUUAAUUUAGUUUUAAAUUACAUCUAUGACGCUGCUAAAUGCAGACAAACACACAACUUUUUUUUUUGUUUUUAAAUUUUUAUAUAUUUUUUUGUACUUUUUAUUUUUUUAAAUUACAUCUAUGAUGCUGCUAAAUGCAACGAACACACAAACACAUAUGCUUACUUUUUUAAAAUUAUAUUUAUACGUUCAUAUUAUAUAGACACAAACACAAGGAAUCCUUGGGAAAUCAUGGCCUACUGGCGGAGAUUAUGCAAAUCAACAUUGUUAAUAGUCCAUUUCGCUUGCGCGCUUCACAUAUUGCGAUCCAAAAAUUGAAGACAUUUUCGACGUGAACUAUAAGGAAACAGAUAUGUACGAGACAGGCGAGACAUCGCGAUUGCAUUGUGAGCGAAGGAUGAGGCGAAUAUGGCACAAGUUCUUUGUCAGCUUAAAGACCUGAAAUUGAGUUGAGUGAAAAAUGCUUAAUUCAAGUGCUUUAUGAAACAAUGUUAAAAUGGAAUUUCUGAAUUUGAAUUUCAAACAUUUCUUCAGACCUAAUUAGGAGCAACCGCGAAAGAUGCAGACCAUUUGACAGGAAUCGAACUCAUGGUCCUGAGAUUCCAGUGCAGCGCUCUUAAUCAAAUAAGUUCGGUUGUUUUAUAUCCGGAUAUAUAAGAAUUUUUACAGCCAGUAACCGCAUGUAGCGGUAUUCAACGUCAACUGAUAAAUCUUGGCGGACCAUCGACCUCAUCGCAACAGCCCGUUGCGCCACAACACUUUCCGGUAACUUCCACGAGAAUUGUUGUCGUCGACGCCCAAUUCUUUGGGCCACAAUGUUCGUAUGAGAACAUUGGAGAGCAGACGGUAUUUAUUAAAACAUGGCUUAAAUUUACGUAUAAUAUUCAUUGUAAUAUUUGCAUUUAUCAUCAAUCAUUGAUAAAGAAAACAAGAAAAUCAUGAGCGUGAAGUGGUUUGUAUUUCUGAUACGGAAUCAUGAUACCAAAUCGUACUGGUAAUACAAAUAUUCACUAAUAGAAAAAUACACGAAAGAGCAAAUAGAAUCCAUUUGCAACAUUCGCGGCCGUGUUGUAUCAGAUAUACUAAUUCUCGCCUUCGGCUCAAAGUUCGUAUAUCUCAUACAACACGCCCGGGAAUGUUGUGAAUGGUAGGAGGUAAUAGAAAAAUACACGAAAGAGCAAAUAGAAUCAUUUGCAACAUUCGCGGCCGUGUUGUAUCAGAUAUACUAAUUCUCGCCUUCGGCUCGAAGUUCGUAUAUCUCAUACCACACGCUCGCGAAUGUUGUAAAUGGUACGAGAUAAUAGAAAAAUACACGAAAGAGCAAAUAGAAUCAUUUGCAACAUUCGCGGCCGUGUUGUAUAAGGUAUACUAAUUCUCGCCUUCCGCUCGAAGUUCGUAAUCUGAUACAACACGCUCGCGAAUGUUGGAAAUGGUACGAUAUAAUAGAAAAAUACACGAAAAAACAAAUAGAAUCCAUUUGCAACAUUCGCGGCCGUGUUGUAUAAGGUAUACUAAUUCUCGCCUUCGGCUCGAAGUUCGUAUAUCUGAUACAACACGCUCGCGAAUGUUGGAAAUGGUACAACAAUAGAGCAAAUAGAAAACUAAUUUUAUUUCUAGUAUUUCCAAACUAGUGCGCAUUUUAACGACAGAUCUUUUUUUAUAACUGUAUACUUCAGAGCCG